GUCUGCAUUUAUCAAGCGCCAAACAAGGCGGCGCAAAAAAGCGCAUAGAAUUUAUAACAAUUGUUUUACAAUUUUACAAUGAAAAAGGAAAACAGCAGAAGAGCGGACAAGAGAGAUGUCUCCACUUAGGCAUUGUUGUCUGGCGUUACUUUUAUUUUUUCGGGCGUGGCGCCACUUCUAUUUAAUAUUGUGGAAAUUAGAGCAGCAAUCCGGCGGAAAUAUUUAGCCAAUUGGCAACAUCAUUUAACGGCAGGCAGGGCCACGCUGCAGGCGCCAUGAUUUAUGCUGCAGCCUUUUCUUUUCCGUAAAAGUUUUUUGUAAAACUUUUCCUGCCUCACAUGCUCAGCAAAUGUGCGUGUGUGCGUGUGUGCGUAUGUGUGUGACUGCAAUUGUGCACUAAUUUGCAGUUGGUUUAAUAAAUUUUCCCCUGCGCUGCGCCACAUGCGUGCAAAAGCGCAAAAGUUCUGCGAGUGCGGGUCGCAAAGUUUUAAUUUCUUGUUUGGCAGGGCCAUUGUGUCAUAAAUUCUUGCCGCUCCACUGGCCAAGGCUCUCCGCGCUGCCUGUGUAUGUGUGUGUGUGUGUGUGUGUGUGUUGCACGACCCACAGCGUGAUAAUUGUAUUGGUAAUUAAUUCCAGUGGCAACAAGGCCUAAGCUGGCCCCAUAAAUACGGCCAAAGUCCGGCCAAAUGGCAAUUAAGGCGCGGAAACAGUCUCUGCUCGAUAAGAAGGUUGACGUUCCUUUUUUUCCUUCCCACUCUGCCUCCAUUUCUAUGCAAAUGAAGUGCAAUCAGCUUGCAGCUGGCAGCGGCAAAAGCAGUUGCAAUAACCAACAAGAACGAAAGCAAUAACAAUGGCGAGGAGAGGCAAAAAUGUUAACAUGAAUUAGCCAGCAAGUACUCCAUGCAGUCGAGAUGGCAACAGGAAGCGGAUGCAAUAAAGUAUGCACCAGGAGCAAUAAAAAGUGCCAGGACGUGCCCCAAGAAGCUGGGCUGGCGCUGGCGCUGGAGUUGGCCCACAUUGAACCACCAUCGAGCUGCGACUUGGGAAACGGAAGAAGUAGGAGAAAUGGAAGAUGGCAAAACUACUACCCAGAAGCGGGGUGCAGAAAGCAGCGAUAACAGAGCCGAAGAAGAACCAACAAUUAGAUGGCAAACGAAUGCCUUAAAGUAGUCAACUCUUGAAGAGAAAGAUGACUCCAAGCUGAUGCUCUGCCAGAGCGCCACUUGCCCACAUCCACAUGUAGAGCCACAGCCACAUCCUGGCGACAAACACAAGGAUUAUGCAAAUGAAGUAAGGGGGCCCCUUGAAAUUCAUAAACAUUUAAUAUUUUAUGGGGCAUUCAUGAACAUUUAGGCGUCACUGCAAGUGCGUGUCGGUGUGUGGCAAAAACAAUUCCUAGUUCCCACAUCCCAGCUCCCAGUCCCGAGAUGCUGCUGUUGCCAUUGUUUGUUACUGCUGCCUGCAUGUUGUUUAUUUGUUGUUUUUCGCUCGACACUGGAGGCACGAGAGGCAACACAAUUUAUGUACCACUAUGUGCCCAUACAUACAUUUGUACAUAUGCAUAAAUCCACCGUACCUACUCGUACAUAGAGCAACCAUAUGAAUAUCAAAGUGUUUUGCAUGAAUUUCUUGUGCUCCAUUGGUGAAAUUUUACUUGUCAUUGUUGCGUGCUGAAUAAAAGAUGAGAGACUUGAGAGAUGCAGCCAGCAUGGAGGAGGGAUUAUGCCCUGUCUCUGGUGCACUCCACGGGCUAAUCACCCAAUUCCGUUGCAGGAUUCAAUCGGAAUAAAAGCAGCAAAAGGGAACACAACAGAGACCAGGGAAUAGAGAGAUAGCGAAGAGAUAGGGCCCAACUGCCAUUCACGCAAUUAACUAACUUGGCCCAAAUGGCACUAAAGCUUUUAUCUUAUUAUCCUGGCAAAAUACCCAAAGCGUUGACAAGCAAACACAAACAAAUGAAGCAGGCAAGAUGGCAAAUAGUCAAAGCAGCGAACGGCGAAAGGAACAAAAACAGAAGGCUAAGAGGGGCCGAGCUGGGCUAUAACGAAACCAAAAAUGUCCGCAGGACACGGGACGAAAAUAAAAAGAGAGCAAAGCGAGUGCCCAGACCGGGUCGGGGUCGUUGUCGGGUCGGUUGGGGUCCUCGUUGGUGGCUAGGUGACAGCAGCAGCAGCGGCAGCGGCCAAAGCGCAUUAUGUCCUUGUCUUUGGCUCCUUCGUGUUUUUUUUUUUGUUGUUUUUUGUUUUUUGUGCGCUAUCUCUCUCCUGUGGCCGCUUUGUUAUUUCGAUUUUAUUCUCUAACGAUUUUCCGCCUUUGAUUGCGCACCUUUUUCUAGUUUUUACUCUUCACCUUUUCGCCCGCGUCUUCCUUCACCUGCCGUUACUUUGCUUUGCUCUGCGUUGUCAGUGAGGGGUAUGGGAGGCUGGGGGGUUAUAAAUAUGAGCAAACAUUUCGCAAGAUAUCCUUAAUUAAAGCAAUUUCCUUCUGUCAGAGUGGGCAAAAGGAAGAGGGCAAAAGGCGACGCUGGGAAUGAAAUUUUGCCGAGGAUGGCCAAAGGAAAUAAGCUGCCGUGUCCCCGCCAUAAAGGUGCUACCGAAAAUGUCAGGACAAUGACCUGUUACGCACACUUGCACACACACAAAAACGAAAACACACACACAAGCACAAGCACAAGCACAAGAUACGCCCCCGUGGCAAAGGGGUUAAGAGCGAAUCUUCGUGUGGCCAUUAACAUGAAAUUUUUACCGUCAGCCGCAAAAAGAGUGCCCGAGCGGCAAGGAUUUCGGUGGGGUCACGUCACGUGGCCCGCCAUUGUUGCGGCUCCUCUCUUCUCCGUCCUGCUCUGCUCUGCUCUGCCUGUGACUCCUGCUGCCUCCUCCUCCUGCUGUGGCUCGUGCUCCUCCACCAUAAGCAGCGCCGUAGGAGCUGAAACAGCUUUUGUCUACUGGUCUCCGUACGGCCACCUGUCCGCUCCCCUCCCCUCCCCUUUCAGGUGCGACAGGGGUAGAAAGAGAGCGAGCAGACAUGCUUUUUGUUCGUAAGUUCGCUUUUUCAUAGUUCCUCCUGCUCCGCUUUAAUCCGGCGCGUAUGUCCUUGCACAACAUCCUUUGCAUUGUUUGCGCUAUAAAUACACGAUGCUGGAGGUGCGCAACGAGCAGCACCACAACGUGCACCACCACACUCACCCACCCAACCACUCACAGCCACACGCCCACGACAACGACAGCAACAGCAAACGGCAAAGGCUUAUCCUUGGCGUCUUCGACGGCGUCGCACAGGAUGGCCCGCUUAUUUAUCGCAUUUUUAUGUGAAAUAAACGAUUCGGAAUUGGCUACGUAAAACAUUAAUUUUAUUGUGGGGGAAAUUGAGAUUGCAAAACGAAAUAACAACAGCCACGGCAGCAGCGC
rnacentral:lncRNA from 1 species